rnacentral:lncRNA from 11 species
CCACAAGGAAGGACGUAAACUCAACUUCCAUAGGUAAUCCAUGGGAAUGGCUUCCAUCUCCCCACUUCUAGUUUCAAUCAAUGCCUUUUCCCCUUAUCUUUCUAUAAAAAAGUAUAAGGACUCCAACAUUGAGCCAAGGUGACUCCAUUUGGGAUCGGGACUCCAUCUGUGAUCGGGACUCACAGUUUAAGAAGCAAUGGUCUAUACAUACUGAGUGCUGAAACUGUGUUUCCCUGAAAGAAAAUUGUCCUUUUUCC